rnacentral:piRNA from 1 species
UUCAGCAAAUAUUUUAUCAAA